rnacentral:rRNA from 1 species
GACGAACGCUGGCGGCGUGCCUAAUACAUGCAAGUCGAACGCAGGGGGGACGGGUGAGUAACACGUGGGUAACCUCCCAACAGAGGGGAUAACAAUUGGAAACAGGUGCUAAACCGAUACUGAUGGAUGAACCCGCGGUGCAUGAGCUAGUUGGUAGGGUAACGGCUCACCAAGGCAACGAUGCAUAGCCGACUGUAGAGUGCGAUCGGCCACACUGGGACUGAGACACGGCCCAGACUCCUACGGGAGGCAGCAGUAGGGAAUCUUCGGCAAUGGACGAAAGUCUGACCGAGCAACGCCGCUUGAGUGAAGAAGGUUUUCGGAUCGUAAACCUCUGUUGUUAGAGAAGCGGUAUCUAACCAGAAAGCCACGGCUAACUACGUGCCAGCAGCGCGGUAAUAC